UGCAUGAAGUCGGAAUUGCUAGUAAUCGCGGAUCAGCAUGCCGCGGUGAAUACGUUCCCGGGCCUUGUACACACCGCCCGUCACACCAUGGGAGCCGGUAAUACCCGAAGUCAGUAGUCCAACCUCGUGAGGACGCUGCCGAAGGUGGGCUUGAUAAUUGGGGUGAAGUCGUAACAAGGUAAC
rnacentral:rRNA from 1 species